GACGAACCGGACAAACGUUAUUCGGAAUUACUGGGCUUAAAGGGUUUGUAGGCGGCCUUGUAAGUCAGGUGUGAAAUCCCUCGGCUCAACCGAGGAAUAGCGCUUGAUACUGCAAGGCUUGAGGGAGGCAGGGGUAAGCGGAACUGAUGGUGGAGCGGUGAAAUGCGUUGAUAUCAGGAGGAACACCAAUGGCGAAGGCAGCUCGCUGGGACGGUACUGACGCUGAGGCGCGAAAGCGUGGGGAGCGAACAGG
rnacentral:rRNA from 1 species